UACGUAGGGCGCAAGCGUUGUCCGGAAUUAUUGGGCGUAAAGAGCUCGUAGGCGGCUUGUCACGUCGGGUGUGAAAGCCCGGGGCUUAACCCCGGGUCUGCAUUCGAUACGGGCUAGCUAGAGUGUGGUAGGGGAGAUCGGAAUUCCUGGUGUAGCGGUGAAAUGCGCAGAUAUCAGGAGGAACACCGGUGGCGAAGGCGGGUCUCUGGACCGAUUACUGACGCUGAGGCGCGAAAGCUAGGGGAGCAAACGGG
rnacentral:rRNA from 1 species